GAAAUGCGAUAAGUAAUGUGAAUUGCAGAAUUCAGUGAAUCAUCGAAUCUUUGAACGCAUAUUGCGCCCCUCGGUACUCCGGGGGGCAUGCCUGUUCGAGCGUCAUUGACACCACUCAAGCCCGGCUUGGAGUUGGGCCCUCGUCCCCCCCCCGGGGGGGCGUGCCCGAAAGUUAGCGGCGGUGCAACCGGUCCUCGAGCGCAUUAGAUAUUCUUCGCUUCGAUGGUCCCGGGGGCCCCUGCCGGGCAACAGCCACGUGCCUUUAACGAUUGACCUCGGAUCAGGUAGGGAUACCCGCUGAACUUAA
rnacentral:misc_RNA from 1 species